GAUUCACUCUGCAGAUCUCCUUGCAGCAGAACGUUCUUCAUUGCUGUUUGUAGGUACCGGACACCAAUAAGUACAGAGAGCUGUAAGGAAAGAUUUUCUAAAUUAAAGAGAAGGAAGGCAUCACAAGAAGCUGACCAGGUGGACGUAAGCAGCAGAACUCUAUGGUCCAGCAUUUAGGAACUAAGUGUGUCUUUCAAAAGAAACAUAAGCUGAAAGGAACCUCAGCAUUUGUGACUGUGCUAGCAUGGCAGAAUAAUUGCCUUCAUUUUAUUCUUUUGUGCCUCCUUUCUCUCUCAUUUUGUUUUUAUUUUCUCUGAGAAAAAAUAUUUUUAACAGAUAUUUCCAAUUACAUAAGGAAGAUCAUUUGCUGUUUCCCACCGAGGAGCAAGUUAGCCAUAAUGCCUCUUCUUUUUAACAUCUAGCUCUUCGCUUUGUGGUCAACCUGCUCCAGGUAACAGAAACAGGAAAACUAAUGUGGAAGAACACAAAUAAUUAACUGAAAACAGAAUUAAGUGUACAAACAGUGUAACUGACAUAGGCAAAAUGAUGUAGAAAAAUGAGGGGAGCCACAGAGGUACAGAAAAGAGGGCCAAAAUGUGGGAAAAAAGAAACUGUACAGAGGAUGGAGAGGAAGGCAAGUUGAUUGUGAAAUGGGGGCUUUUACCUGAACAAACCUAAUGCUCUGUAUGUUUCAGUGAUGUAAACCAAAACAAUAGGACAGCAUCUGAAAUGAUUGAAAUACAAUCGCUUAAGCUAGCUCUUAAGCUUCGCUUUUGAUCUGAAGCAUUUUUUUUAUUUUUUUUUCCUACCAUGUAUGUGAUAAGGUGAUAAAUUUAUUUCUGCUGCAAACAAUAACAGUUCCAGACUUUGGUUAUGUUCCCCUUGCUGUUGUAUUUCCUUGUAGCAAACUGAAUGGAGUUCAAUCUGGAUAUUGCUAAAAGGGGAGAGCUCAGUAACAAAAACUGAGGAAGUAAGAUGUUAACUGUGUUGUAGUUCAAAAUUGUAAUGAAGCAAAAGUUGCUUAUGAGACUACAAAAAGAUUAUUUUUGCCUAACCAAAGCAGUGAUAGGAUUGUACUGCUGUAACCUGCUUCAUCCUUGUACUGCUCCCAUAGAUUGACUCUGGUUUUUGUGAUGUUGUGGCAUUGGUAAUGGAGUGAUGGAGGGAAGAGAAGAGGAUUAUGAAGGAAGGUGAAAAGUUCAGUUCCGUAGAGAUUCUUAUUAAGCCAAGUAUGUCAGUUCUCAACUGCUUUGCCUCUUAAUCUACCAAGUACUAACUGACAUACACUACAAGAUAAAACGAAGAUUUGAUUCCUUCUCCACCUUUGCUAAAUGUUACAAGUUGGACUUUGGUCCUAGUGAUUUCAUACCAAAUGUUUCACUACAAGGUUUUGAAAAUCAUAGUAUAAUUUGCUUAUACAGUACCAACUUUGAUUCUAGCAACUGAGAUGAGGUUAUCUAGUUUAUAUGCAGUAGAAGUUAUGUGCUGUAUUUAUCUUCUUCAUGCAUUGUCUUCUUUCUACAUGGGGGUAGAAAAAUUUACUGUAUUUCCAGAAUGUUGGCAGAGCACAGAUGACUUUGUAGGUGAAAACUGAGUUCAUUUAAGCCAGGAAAAAACAUUACUCUUAGUACAUGGCUCACAGAAAUAAAAGGUAGUAUGUUUUACUUUUAUCCGUACAAUAGGAUACUACUGUAAGUUCCUGCAGGUUAUAUUUGUUGUCUUAUGACUUUUCAGAGUAGAACAAGGAUUUAAAACACCUGGUGAGUCCGUUUGCUUUGUGUCACUAUUGCUCUCUAACAUCUUCCUUUAGAACAUCUCUUCUAAAGCUUGUGUUAUUUCCUUAGCCAACUGCCUAAUGCAUGCUGAUGUCCUCGUUUCAGAGGUCCUGUCCUUUGGUAUAUUUGCAUCUCUGUUUAUAUACUUUGCUAUAAGGCCAUCUUCAAGUUACGAGUUCUGUUAAAAUAAGAUCACUGGCCUUCUUUCAUCUGGCUUUGUUCCCCUGAGUUUUGAGUUCAACAAAGCAGAAUAUUCCUUAAAUGCCAUUUAAACUUUUUGUAUUUAUUUUUCCUAAGAAUGUAUAGCUACCUGGCUCUCAUCAAUGAAGACUUUGUUCAACUUUUGAAGAUGUAUAUUGGAUUAUCUGCUACUUUUUUUCUUAUUUUUGACUGCUACCUUCUAAAAUAUGGUUGUCUAUAGAAAUUAUCACUCUUUGCUUUGAGAAUAUAAUUUCACAAUUGCUGUAUUCUGUGAGACACCAACAUAAGAACAAAUAUCAAGGGUUUUUCUCCUUUUUUACUGCAAGGUACAUGGUGUUGACAGUUUCUCACAUGUGAACAUGUAAAUUUGAACCUGAAUUCUAGUCUAAUAUGUGAAGGGAAAAGAUUUUUCAAUGUUUAGGAUUGAAUGCAUGAUGUAUUGGUAGGAAAUCCUUUUUUUCUCUUACUUUUAACAAUUCCUUAUGACUGAAAUUUUGAGGCAGAUAAUUUGCUACAUUAAAAAAGGAAAGUGUAUCACUGCACUGCAUAGUGUCCCUAAAAAGUUAUCAAAAGAUGACUUUUCAUUAUGCAUGUGGUUAGCAUAUUUAAGGAAUAACAUUGUCAGUCUACAGUUUUGUGAUGAUCCAGCAGAAAUUAUCUGCUUGGCUCUGUGAAGUGUAUGCUAGAAACUCAAAAUGAUUAAAUAUAAGCAGAAGGAUCUUUUUGGCCUGAUCACUUCCAUAUUUGUGUUUUUAGGGGAAACAAGUAGUCUUGAAAAAGUGUUAUUACUGCUAUAACUUACUAGAAAUUUACGUUAAACUACCAGACUGUUUGUAAAUAUGCGUAUGAUUACAUUAUAUCUUGAGGUAGACUUGUUAGCAAUUAUUCAGAUGAAUCUUUGAGAGAAACCUAGCCACAAGUUGUCAUGUAAGGAAGAAAUACUGCUAGGAUUUGGGGCAGAAAAAAAUCAGUCUUACUGUGUUCUCUUUAAUGUCAAUAUGUCUCAAGACCUUUUGACGCUACCGUUUCUGAUCAAU